rnacentral:rRNA from 1 species
AUAUUGCACAAUGGGCGAAAGCCUGAUGCAGCAACGCCGCGUGAGUGAUGAAGGCCUUCGGGUCGUAAAACUCUGUCCUCAAGGAAGAUAAUGACGGUACUUGAGGAGGAAGCCCCGGCUAACUACGUGCCAGCAGCCGCGGUAAUACGUAGGGGGCUAGCGUUAUCCGGAUUUACUGGGCGUAAAGGGUGCGUAGGCGGUCUUUCAAGUCAGGAGUGAAAGGCUACGGCUCAACCGUAGUAAGCUCUUGAAACUGGGAGACUUGAGUGCAGGAGAGGAGAGUGGAAUUCCUAGUGUAGCGGUGAAAUGCGUAGAUAUUAGGAGGAACACCAGUUGCGAAGGCGGCUCUCUGGACUGUAACUGACGCUGAGGCACGAAAGCGUGGGGAGCAAACAG